rnacentral:rRNA from 1 species
UACGGGGGGGGCAAGCGUUGUUCGGAAUUACUGGGCGUAAAGGGCUUGUAGGUGGCCAACUAAGUCAGCCGUGAAAUCCCUCGGCUUAACCGGGGAACUGCGUCUGAUACUGGAUGGCUUGAGUGUGGGAGAGGGAUGCGGAAUUCCAGGUGUAGCGGUGAAAUGCGUAGAUAUCUGGAGGAACACCGGUGGCGAAGGCGGCAUCCUGGACCAUAACUGACACUGAUAAGCGAAAGCCAGGGGAGCAAACAGG